rnacentral:rRNA from 1 species
AUUGAACGCUGGCGGCAUGCCUUACACAUGCAGGUCGAACGGCAGCACGGGGGCAACCCUGGUGGCGAGUGGCGAACGGGUGAGUAAAGCAUCGGAACGUACCCGGAAGUGGGGGAUAACGUAGCGAAAGUUACGCUAAUACCGCAUAUUCUGUGAGCAGGAAAGCAGGGGAUCGCAAGACCUUGCGCUUUCGGAGCGGCCGAUGUCGGAUUAGCUAGUUGGUGGGGUAAAGGCCUACCAAGGCGACGAUCCGUAGCGGGUCUGAGAGGAUGAUCCGCCACACUGGGACUGAGACACGGCCCAGACUCCUACGGGAGGCAGCAGUGGGGAAUUUUGGACAAUGGGCGAAAGCCUGAUCCAGCCAUGCCGCGUGAGUGAAGAAGGCCUUCGGGUUGUAAGGCUCUUUCGGCGGGGAAGAAAUCGCACUUACUAAUACUGAGUGUGGAUGACGGUACCCGAAUAAGAAGCACCGGCUAACUACGUGCCAGCCGCCGCAGUAA